UAUUGCACAAUGGGGGAAACCCUGAUGCAGCGACGCCGCGUGAAGGAAGAAGUAUUUCGGUAUGUAAAGCUCUAUCAGCAGGGAAGAAAGAAAUGACGGUACCUGACUAAGAAGCCCCGGCUAACUACGUGCCAGCAGCCGCGGUAAUACGUAGGGGGCAAGCGUUAUCCGGAUUUACUGGGUGUAAAGGGAGCGUAGACGGCGAUGCAAGUCUGAAGUGAAAGGCGGGGGCCCAACCCCCGGACUGCUUUGGAAACUGUCCAGCUGGAGUGCAGGAGAGGUAAGCGGAAUUCCUAGUGUAGCGGUGAAAUGCAUAGAUAUUAGGAGGAACACCAGUGGCGAAGGCGGCUUACUGGACUGUAACUGACACUGAGGCUCGAAAGCGUGGGGAGCAAACAG
rnacentral:rRNA from 1 species